rnacentral:rRNA from 1 species
GAUGAACGCUAGCGGCAGGCCUAAUACAUGCAAGUCGAACGAUACCAGAGAGCUUGCUUUCUGGGAAAGUGGCGCACGGGUGCGUAACGCGUAUGCAACCUACCUUAAUCAGGGGGAUAGCCUCUCGAAAGAGAGAUUAACACCGCAUAAAAUCACACUUCGGCAUCGAAGAAUGAUCAAAUAUUUAUAGGAUUAAGAUGGGCAUGCGUGACAUUAGCUAGUUGGUAAGGUAACGGCUUACCAAGGCUACGAUGUCUAGGGGAUCUGAGAGGAUGACCCCCCACACUGGUACUGAGACACGGACCAGACUCCUACGGGAGGCAGCAGUAAGGAAUACUGGUCAAUGGGGGCAACCCUGAACCAGCCAUGCCGCGUGCAGGAAGACGGCCCUACGGGUUGUAAACUGCUUUUAUACGGGAAUAAAUCUCGCUACGUGUAGUGAGUUGAAUGUACUGUAAGAAUAAGGAUCGGCUAACUACGUG